GCCACGUCAUGCCUGUUUCACCUGAAAGCUUCUAUAUACGAGGAGGGUCUUCCCAUUCUAGACAGGGUUCAAGAAUAUGCUGCUUCCUAGAAACUUGGGCAAAGUCUUUCCAGUUAUAGAAGGAAGCAGCAAAGAUGCCUAGGGAGGGAAUCUGUCCAACCCCAUGUCUGUGCAAUGCUGUCUUAUGAAAUGGGGCUGAUUUUAUUUGGUAGUUAAGUUGGGCUUUGACUGGAAAACUCACUCACCUGCAGAGGUCUGCACAUGCGCACAUGGAAAUACUAAAACACUCUGAGCACUCACCAUGUGCCAGGCACAAUGCCCAGGGCUUUGCACACACCAUCGCCUCCAAGCCUCAAAGGUGCCUGGCGGGGAGGGCAGAUAUCAUUAUCCCUGUUUUACAGGUGAGGUGCCCAAGGCUCAGAAAGCCUAGGAAACUUGCCUAAAAUUGAAAAACUAAAGUAAAAGAACUUGGAUCCAGGAUUGAUGGAUUUUUAAAGCAUCAUCUCUUAACCACCGUGCUGUGGGGCAACAUGUUUAUUAUGUGUCGGAGGCACUGGAAUUCUGAGGAGGAACAGGAAGGACAGAUUCUUGACUUCAGAAAGCUUGAGUUCAACCACUCACCAGCGCACACAGAGUUACUGUCACUUGUAUGCUCCAAGACUCCUACAACCAAGGGGCCCAUGUCCCAUCUUUCCCCGUCACACUACUCUCAGACCUCCUGCCCUUGAUUCCCAGUGCAAACAUCGGGUGUACCAUAAAGACUGGGGUAUUCUCCAGUAGAACUUCGGAUGCUUGAAUUUUACAGGCAACAAUGUGAGCAAUUCGACCACGGAUGCAUGACACUAUAGUUACUAAGCUCCUGAACUAGCCACUGUUUGUUUUAUAUUGUUUUUUAAUUUGAUUGGGAAGUUUCUCUGACCCCAUUACUCUGUAUUUUCAGAAGAGCGAGACAGAAGAGCAACAGGGCAGGGACCAGGAAGAUUUCAAGCUUGGAGACUCAGAAAGUCAAGUGAUAGAACGAGAAGAAAUAAAGCAGGGUGAGGUGAAACUCCUUUGCUUCCAUGACCUCUGAAGGGAAGUGAUGAUGUAUCUGAAGGACACUGCACACGACGAUGUAACAGAAAGAAGGAAGCAAAGGUUGCACUAAUUGCAGAGUUUGCCAAGAGUGGACUAGCUGCCAAGGCUACUUCAACCUUCCCAUGAUCUGGGAGACAGCACAGUGUCCUGCUGUGCUGGACGUCUUCCAGUGGCAUUGACCCAAUAGGGGGGUUGGGGAGAAGACUUCUUGGUAUUAAGAAAGAGAAACUUCCCUCCAAAGUCAAGCUACUGAACCAGCUACAUGUGAGAUACAGGAGGACUGACCAAGACCCCUUGAAUCCCAGCAAGAAUGCUGAGAGCAGACUUAAGGGCUCCCAGUUCCUACUCUGCCAGCCUCAUCUGGGGGAGCUGUUCCUAAGGCUCCUGAUGAAUCCAGACACCCACCUCAGCCUCACUCUAGGAAUCCAACCUUCCCCAAAAUGCCUGCGUUUGACCACUGGAGGGCAGUGCUGGACCAGCCAAAUCUCUUUAGGGGCUCUGCUCCACCGUUGUCCCCACCUUGCCCUGGCAUAAGCGGCAUGCAGCCUCUGGUUGGGAGCCAAAACCGAAGGACCACGGGAGCACCCUGAGAGCAGCAGCACGGCCAGCACUGUUACAAUGGCUCCCCGCGCCUGGCGUCGUAGGAAUAAAAGGCAGUUCAUUGGAAAGAGGAUUUGGCUCCAUAGGUGACACAGUCCCCUGGGAAAGAGACUGAAAGGAAAACUUGCCUCAUCAUGUCAUUAAGCAGGAACAAUCUGUGCCUCUGACCAGGGGUUGUAGACUCCUACUUUUUUCUACCCUCUCGGAUGUAAGCUCUUGGCAGCACAUACAGUGCUUGGCAAUAAACGUCUGUUGAAUGAGU